ACGUAGGUGGCAAGCGUUAUCCGGAAUUACUGGGUGUAAAGGGAGCGCAGGCGGGAUAGCAAGUCAGUUGUGAAAACUAUGGGCUCAACCCAUAGAUUGCAGUUGAAACUGUUAUUCUUGAGUGGAGUAGAGGCAAGCGGAAUUCCGAGUGUAGCGGUGAAAUGCGUAGAUAUUCGGAGGAACACCAGUGGCGAAGGCGGCUUGCUGGGCUCUAACUGACGCUGAGGCUCGAAAGUGUGGGGAGCAAACAG
rnacentral:rRNA from 1 species